rnacentral:rRNA from 1 species
UACAGAGGUCCCAAGCGUUGUUCGGAAUUACUGGGCGUAAAGGGCGCGUAGGCGGCCUACUAAGUCAGACGUGAAAUCCCCCGGCUUAACCUGGGAACUGCGUCUGAUACUGGAAGGCUUGAGGAUGGGAGAGGGAUGUAGAAUUCCAGGUGUAGCGGUGAAAUGCGUAGAUAUCUGGAGGAAUACCGGUGGCGAAGGCGGCAUCCUGGACCAUUUCUGACGCUGAGGCGCGAAAGCUAGGGGAGCAAACGGG